CAUAUUACAUACACUUGUAACAAACCAGCGCACCAUAUAGAUACAACAACAAUGGAAAAAUAAAAAUACAAAGAAAUGUAUCAGUAUAAACCUGGAGUGGUCCAGUGGUUUUAAGGAAAGAGUGGACAGUUGAAGAUGAAUCCUGACCGAUUCCCUACCUGACUGCACUUUGUUCAAAACCAUUUACUGUAUGUUUGCCUCAGUUAUACUGUAUAUAAGGAACAUACAUAAAGAAAUAUAUAUUAUAUGUUUAAAUUCUAAUGCCGUAUGCAUAGGAUUUAGUGCAAAUCUACGCUACGUUCGUACAAGUUCCAGUUAUAUGAAUGACAAAUGUUAAAUGACUGUGUUGUUGUGUCCUGUCAUUUUGUGUUUAAAGCUGCCAUAUUGGUAGCUACUGACUAUAAGAUAUGAUUUUAAAUUGCUAAUACGAUUUAUUCCUCCUUCUUGGUGAGCAGACAGUGAGACUGUGUCCCCACCCAGAAACCUGGCAACAAUUUCUCCUUGAAGGAGCUCUUAAUCUGCUGCAACAGUUUCACCUCCUUACCUGCUGUGCCCUCCUCUCCCUCUUUCACCUCCACAGAAUAGAAAUUAAGGACACCAGCAGGUUGGUCGAGAUAAACACCUAUUAUUGAGGACUUGUUAUUCUCCAUGAUCUCAGUGGAGCGGCCGUUGUGCCAGGCAUGAUAAGUGGAUCCGCUCCGUCCGAGACCCCAGGACUCCUCGUUCUCUCCCAGGCCACAGGAUCCAUGGCUGUUCCUCCUUCCAGCUCGCUCGAAGGCGACUCCGACCACGACCCAUCCAGAAAACUCCACCUCCCAGUAGCCUCGGAAGCCCAGGAUGCCUUCUUUGCAAAGAACCUUUUGGAACGUGGAUGGCAAUGUCAACGUAAUUCAGAGUGAAGCAGGCUGCCAUUUUAUGUGAAGCACAGACACCCCUGGUGAAAUCCCAACACCGACUGCAUGUAUUUCAACUGCUUCGGCUACAGAGUCCGACAUUCCCGCACCUUUUCACGGAUUCACGCUUUGACCUCAGCAGCAGGGGACUUGUCUCCACGGUGGCUCCAGCUGAUGUAUGCACAUUUCUGACAAAUGAAGGAGGAGAUGAUGACUAGUAAUGAAGACGUGCCUGAGACUUGAAUCUUGACCAUGAGAUGAAAGGGUGAGGAGACAGGGUGUGUCAGGGUAACAUUAUAAAGAAAAAUACUGUUACUGCCUGUGGCCAGCUGACCGUCUGGCCUAAAUCUGCCAUAAGCCUGGCGUUCGGCUGUCUCGUUUGUGCCACAAAUAUGACCUUUUAAUCAUAUAAGGUUGCAUUUGGGAGUCCCUAAUACACACUAGUACAGAUUUGAGCCAUCUGAAUAAAGUGUCACAAAGUAAAAUAAUUUUAUAUUUAAAUAGUGUGCUUUUUAGGUUGCGUGUAUUUGACAGGUGUAGCUCUCAGUCCUUCAUAAUUAUAUAGAACAUGUGCAAAAGGAA